UGCGUAGGCGGCGUGGAAAGUCAGAUGUGAAAUCUGGAGGCUCAACCUCCAAAUGGCAUCCGAUACUACCAUGCUAGAGUAUUGGAGAGGGAUCUGGAAUUCUCGGUGUAGCAGUGAAAUGCGUAGAUAUCGAGAGGAACACUAGUGGCGAAGGCGAGAUCCUGGACAAUGACUGACGCUGAGGCACGAAGGCUAGGGUAGCGAACG
rnacentral:rRNA from 1 species